UACAGAGGGUGCAAGCGUUAAUCGGAAUUACUGGGCGUAAAGCGUGCGUAGACGGUUGCGUAAGUCAGAUGUGAAAGCCCCGGGCUCAACCUGGGAAUUGCAUUUGAGACUGCGUAGCUAGGGUGCGGAAGAGGGAAGCGGAAUUUCCGGUGUAGCGGUGAAAUGCGUAGAUAUCGGAAGGAACACCAGUGGCGAAGGCGGGUCUCUGGUCUGUAACUGACACUGAGGCGCGAAAGCGUGGGGAGCGAACAGG
rnacentral:rRNA from 1 species